UGGAUCAAUGAUGACCACCCGUGGCGUGUGAGUUGUGUACGAUGAACAUGCAUCUGGAACUCUGAGAUCCAA